rnacentral:lncRNA from 10 species
CUAAGUGUGAGGGGUCACAUGGAUCCCGUGGAGCAUUCUGGAUAGAUCCUGGAGUCUGGUCACAGAGAGAGCCAAGGCUACAUGAUGGCUUGGAGUCUUCAUCUUUGUCUUUUCACUGUCUUUCCCCACAUUGAGUCAGUCACCAGGUGUUUUUUUUUGGUUUUGUUUUAUUUUGUUUUGUUUCUGUUUUGCACCUGCAGUAUCUCGGCAGGUCAGACUGUCAUGCCGUGCAGGUGCCAGCCCUCUCUCUGCUGUUUUUGCUCUUGUUGCUCUCAGAGCCAAGAGCCACUCUGCACCCAGAGGGCCUCCCAUCCACACCAGCCUGCCCUUUACUCAGCUCUCACUUUCGUCAUCACCUGUGGGAUCCUGUCUGCAGAACCCCCUCAAAACUCUUUCCUUCACGGUGCAGCUCCACCCUGCCUUGCUGUGCUCUGCACAGCUACACCCAAAUUCUCCAUGUCCCUGGACACGCACUUCACAUGUUACAGUCAGGCAUCCUCCUGUUUGCUUAUGCUUUGUCUCUGCUUAGAAUGUCCUUCCAUAUCAUCUUUUCUGGUAAUGUCCUUUAAGGCCAGGCUGAAAAGUUGCCCGGAAGGGCCCCCUUUUCCUGCCUGCAACUGUAUUCCUGU